CCAAGGCGACGAAUUGCGUAGCCGACCUGAGAGGGUGAUCGGCCACACUGGGACUGAAACACGGCCCAGACUCCUACGGGAGGCAGCAGUAGGGAAUCUUCCGCAAUGGACGAAAGUCUGACGGAGCAACGCCGCGUGAACGAAGAAGGCCUUCGGGUCGUAAAGUUCUGUUGUUAGGGAAGAACAAGUACCCAGAGUAACUGCUGGUACCUUGACGGUACCUAACCAGAAAGCCACGGCUAACUACGUGCCAGCAGCCGCGGUAAUACGUAGGUGGCAAGCGUUGUCCGGGAAUUAUUGGGCGUAAAGCGCGCGCAGGUGGUUCCUUAAGUCUGAUGUGAAAGCCCACGGCUCAACCGUGGAGGGUCAUUGGAAACUGGGGAACUUGAGUGCAGAAGAGGAAAGUGGAAUUCCAAGUGUAGCGGUGAAAUGCGUAGAGAUUUGGAGGAACACCAGUGGCGAAGGCGACUUUCUGGUCUGUAACUGACACUGAGGCGCGAAAGCGUGGGGAGCAAACAGGAUUAGAUACCCUGGUAGUCCACGCCGUAAACGAUGAGUGCUAAGUGUUAGAGGGUUUCCGCCCUUUAGUGCUGCAGCUAACGCAUUAAGCACUCCGCCUGGGGAGUACGGCCGCAAGGCUGAAACUCAAAGGAAUUGACGGGGGCCCGCACAAGCGGUGGAGCAUUGUGGUUUAAUUCGAAGCAACGCGAAAUCCUUACCAGGUCUUGACAUCCUCUGACAACCCUAGAGAUAGGGCGUUCCCCUUCGGGGGACAGAGUGACAGGUGGUGCAUGGUUGUCGUCAGCUCGUGUCGUGAUGUUGGGUUAAGUCCCGCAACGAGCGCAACCCUUGAUCUUAGUUGCCAGCAUUCAGUUGGGCACUCUAAGGUGACUGCCGGUGACAAA
rnacentral:rRNA from 1 species